AGCGAACGCUGGCGGCGUGGAUAAGACAUGCAAGUCGAACGGGAUUUUCUUUGGUAGCAAUACCGAAGAAAAUUUAGUGGCGAACGGGUGCGUAACACGUGGGCAAUCUGCCUUAAAGUGGGGGAUAGCUCGGCGAAAGCCGGAUUAAUACCGCAUGUGAUUACCGGAGACAUCUUCGGAACAUCAAAGUCGGGGCAACCUGACGCUUUUUGAGGAGCCCGCGGCCUAUCAGCUAGUUGGUGAGGUAACGGCUCACCAAGGCUUUGACGGGUAGCUGGUCUGAGAGGACGACCAGUCACACUGGAACUGAGACACGGUCCAGACACCUACGGGUGGCAGCAGUCGAGAAUUUUUCUCAAUGGGGGAAACCCUGAAGGAGCGACGCCGCGUGGAGGAUGAAGGUCUUCGGGUUGUAAACUCCUGUCAUUUGGGAACAAUGCUUACGUAUUAACUGUACGUGAGUUGAUAGUACCAGAAGAGGAAGAGACGGCUAACUCUGUGCCAGCCGCCGCUGUAAUAC
rnacentral:rRNA from 1 species